CAAUAGCGUAUAUUAAAGUUGUUGCGGUAAAAAAGCUCGUAGUUGGAUUUCUGUUGAGAGCGACCGGUCCAUACCACGUAUGCGUAUCUGGCUUGCUCUCGGCAUCCUCUCGAUAGACGUUACUGCGCUUGAUUGCGUGGUGCGGAUCUCGGGACUUUUACUUUGAGGAAAUUAGAGUGUUCACGGCAGGCUUUCGCCAGAAUACAUUAGCAUGGAAUAAUACUAUAGGAUCUUGGUUCUAUUUUGUUGGUUUCUAGAAUUGAGAUAAUGAUUAAUAGGGACAAUUGGGGGCAUUCGUAUCAACACGUCAGAGGUGGAAUUCUUGGAUUGUGUUGCGACGAACUACUGCGAAAGCAUUUGCCAAGGAUGUUUUCAUUGA
rnacentral:rRNA from 1 species